rnacentral:tRNA from 1 species
CCCCGACGCAUAGCUAAUGCGCAUCUAUGAGCUUGCAACUCACCGUGAACUUCACUACAGAGCCGAU